CUAAAACAUUCUGAAAACAUCACAUAAAAACAUGCAAGAAAAGUCUAGACAGGGCACUUUCGGCGGCACCUUCGGCGGCCGAAAGUCCAGACAGAUCCGAAAGUCAGGCACUUUCGGCGGCACCUUCGGCGGCCGAAAGUCCCAGACAGAUCCGAAAGUCCUCUUUCGGAGGCAAGCUUCGGCAGCCGAAUGCUGCCUCCACAAGGGGGUUCGGCGGCCGAAAGUACCUUCGGCGGCCGAACCUGAGUUUCUCCCGAAUGGCAGAAACUCAGCUCUUC
rnacentral:lncRNA from 1 species